rnacentral:rRNA from 1 species
UACGUAGGUGGCAAGCGUUGUCCGGAAUUAUUGGGCGUAAAGGGCUCGUAGGCGGUUUGUCGCGUCGGGAGUGAAAACCUCGGGCUUAACUCGGGGCUUGCUUUCGAUACGGGCAGACUAGAGGUAUGCAGGGGAGAACGGAAUUCCUGGUGUAGCGGUGAAAUGCGCAGAUAUCAGGAGGAACACCGGUGGCGAAGGCGGUUCUCUGGGCAUGAUCUGACGCUGAGGAGCGAAAGUGUGGGGAGCGAACAGG